rnacentral:lncRNA from 1 species
AAGGCCGACGACGCAACAGAACGAGCAACUCAACGCAGUUGUGUGGUUGCACCUGUGUGGGCGAGGUAAAUCCACUAUGAAAAGACCCUGAAGUGACGCCUUCAGGAUGCCGAAAAUAAUUAUGACUACAUGUGCUCCCAGUACAAGGGGGUGGCCCUCCAGGC